rnacentral:rRNA from 1 species
GAUGAACGCUGGCGGCGUGCCUAAUACAUGCAAGUAGAACGGUGAAGGAGGAGCUUGCUCUUCUGGAUGAGUUGCGAACGGGUGAGUAACGCGUGGGUAACCUGCCUGGUAGCGGGGGAUAACCAUGGGAAACGGUAGCUAAUACCGCAUGACACCAGUUAUUGCAUGAUAAUUGUGUAAGAGGGGCAGCUGCUCGACUACCAGAUGGCCCUGCGUUGUAUUAGCGUGUUGGUGAGGUAACGGCGCACCAAGGCGAGGAUACAUAGCCGACCUGAGAGGGGGGUCGGCCACCCUGGGACGGAGACACGGCCCAGACUCCUUCGGGAGGGAGCAGGAGGGAAACGUCGGCCAUGGGCGGAAGUCUGACCGAGCAACGCCGAGGGAGUGAAGAAGGUUUUCGGGUCGUAAAGGUCGGUUGUAAGGGAAGAACGAGUGUGAGAGUGGAAAGUUCACACUGUGACGGUACCUUAACAGAAAGCGCCGGCUAACUACGUG